AUGUAUUACUUCGUCUCUGUUCCAAAUAAACAUUAGGACAAGCAACCACCAGUACAUACACAAGUUUAUAAUAGUUCCAGGCAGUUGUUCGAUUGAUCCAAGUUGGUGUGUGGACGUUUAUAGAUUACAAUAAGCAAAGGCUACAUUGUCUGUGCCAGGGGCGGACAGGGAGCACAGAUGUUGGGCUUUUGUUUAUACUACAACAUCGUGUCCGCAGG